GGGCCCGCACAAGCGGUGGAGUAUGUGGUUUAAUUCGAUGCAACGCGAAGAACCUUACCAGGGUUUGACAUCCUGCGAAUCUCUUGGAAACGAGAGAGUGCCUUCGGGAGCGCAGUGACAGGUGGUGCAUGGCUGUCGUCAGCUCGUGUCGUGAGAUGUUGGGUUAAGUCCGGCAACGAGCGCAACCCUCGUUCCUAGUUGCCAGCGGGUAAUGCCGGGGACUCUAGGAAGACAAACCUCGUGUAGAGGUGGGAAGGUGGGGACGACGUCAAGUCAGUAUGGCCCUUACGACCAGGGCUGCACACGUGCUACAAUGCUUGGUACAAUGGGAUGCAACACCGCGAGGUUGAGCUAAUCCACAAAACCAAGCCCAGUUCGGAUUGGAGUCUGCAACUCGACUCCAUGAAGUUGGAAUCGCUAGUAAUGGC
rnacentral:rRNA from 1 species